GACGAACGCUGGCGGCGUGCUUAACACAUGCAAGUCGAACGGAAAGGCCCUGCUUUUGUGGGGUGCUCGAGUGGCGAACGGGUGAGUAACACGUGAGUAACCUGCCCUUGACUUUGGGAUAACUUCAGGAAACUGGGGCUAAUAUCGGAUAGGAGCUCCUGCUGCAUGGUGGGGGUUGGAAAGUUUCGGCGGUUGGGGAUGGACUCGCGGCUUAUCAGCUUGUUGGUGGGGUAGUGGCUUACCAAGGCUUUGACGGAUAGCCGGCCUGAGAGGUGGACCGGCCACAUUGGGACUGAGAUACGGACCAGACUCCUACGGGAGGCAGCAGGGGGGAAUAUUGCACAAUGGGGGGAAGCCUGAUGCAGCAACGCCGCGUGCGGGAUGACGGCCUUCGGGUUGUAAACCGCUUUCGCCUGUGACGAAGCGUGAGUGACGGUAAUGGGUAAAGAAGCACCGGCUAACUACGUG
rnacentral:rRNA from 1 species